rnacentral:misc_RNA from 1 species
AUGCGAUAACUAAUGUGAAUUGCAGAAUUCAGUGAAUCAUCGAGUCUUUGAACGCACAUUGCGCCCCCUGGUAUUCCGGGGGGCAUGCCUGUCCGAGCGUCAUUACUGCCCUCAAGCCCGGCUUGUGUGUUGGGUCCUCGUCCCCCCCGGGGACGGGCCCGAAAGGCAGCGGCGGCACCGCGUCCGGUCCUCGAGCGUAUGGGGCUCUGUCACCCGCUCCGUAGGCCCGGCCGGCGCCCGCCCACGCGAUCAACCUCUUUCUUUCCAGGUUGACCUCGGAUCAGGUAGGGAUACCCGCUGAACUUAA